AUUGGUACUACUACAUGUAGUUUAAUAGGGAAGCCGGUGAGAUUCCGGCGCUGUCCCCGCAACUGUAAAGCUGACGAAGAUUCAAUUACCACUGUGCAUUUUGCAUGGGAAGGGAAUCCCAGGAUGAAGCGAAGCCAGGAGACCUGCCAAGUAAA
rnacentral:ncRNA from 1 species